UACGAGAGGCCCAAACGUUAUUCGGAUUUACUGGGCUUAAAGAGUUCGUAGGCGGUCCGUCAAGUGAGGUGUGAAAUCCUCGGGCUCAGCCCGAGAUGUGCAGUGAAGACUGCGAGGCUUGAGUGUCGGAGAGGAAAGCGGAAUUCCCGGUGUAGAGGUGAAAUUCGUAGAGAUCGGGAGGAACACCAGUGGCGAAGGCGGCUUUCUGGCUGACAACUGACGCUGAGACUCGAAAGCAUGGGGAGCAAACAGG
rnacentral:rRNA from 1 species